UGCUAGAAUAUAUUAUCAUGUAGUGUUAAGUAAUAUAAAAUAAAAUAAACCAAGCCAAAAGGAUAGAGAGUGGCUGGGUGGGAUUUUUAAAAAGAGACCAAGACAGGUUUCUCUAAUAUAGAGAUAUUUGAGUGAAAGAGAAAGAUCCAGUUGACAGUCACUGGAGGAGAUGUCCAGGCUGGGAGAGUAUGAAGUGUAGAACCUGAGGCAGGAGUGGUCUUGGUGUGCUAAGGGCUGCGGGGAGCCUGCUGUGCCUUCAUGGAUGAGUAUAUGUGCACACGUGCACGUUUGUGUGUAUGGUUGAUGUGCACAAGCAUUUGUGGGUAUCUUUAUAUUUCUUGGUUGGAAACAAGGAUCUUGACCUGACCAACUGUAAGAGCCCACAUAUGGGGGCUCAGGAAUGAUAACUGCCAAAAUGAUGGCAACUGAAAGACAGAAUGUGCAAUAUAAAAGCAGACAGCUGCUGCGCACUGUGUCAGAGGCCCCAGGAAAUGCUCCCAAGAAGAGUUUAGUGCAGUCCUAAGAGAAGUUGUUUAUUAAUCUGGGGUUGGAGGCCAGGCCUAUGCUGUCGCUCUUCGUAAGGCUGGCAGGGCCAUGUGUUGCAGAGUCUGGCCUCCUCCCUCACUGAGGCAGCUGCCAGAACCCCAGGCUGGAGGGCCAGUUUCCCUGUCUCUGCAGAAGCCUCAGUAACCCUCUGAACACUGAGAAUUCCUGCUGCAACCUAGAGAGAGAAAACUACCUUCAAGGCCAAGGUAGUGAGAAAUCUCCAGAGAAAACGUUCCUUCUAGCAAGUUUCUACGGCAGUGGUGAAUAAAACAUCAAGAGGAAGUAAACUCAAAUUAAUAUGGGGCUGGGUUGGUGACUAGUGGUGGCCCCCCUCUCUGGAGCACCGGCCUGCAGCUCAGAGCCUGGUGCCGCCUGAACGCUGCUUUGAUGGCGCUGGGGGAGAACGGGCUGCCCAGCCGAGAGGAUGAGGUGCAGGCUGCAGGGGGCCCAGGGGCAGAGGUUGGGGGAGAGAGCUCUCAAUGAAAUAAGCUUCCUUGACUUUCCUCACACCAAGGUAAGGACCAUGUCCCUGUUUCCACUGCUCCCUGUCCUUCUCUUGAGUAUGGUGGCAGCAUCCUUCUCAGAAACAGAAACCUGUGAGGAUGUGCAGAAGACCUGCCCUGGGACGGCCUGUGGUUGUCCAGGAGCCAACGGCUUCCCAGGCAAAGACGGGCGUGACGGCACCAAGGGCGAAAAGGGAGAGCCAGGUACCUUGGGCCAUUCCGGUUCUGACUCUUACCUUCUGGAGGAAACUGUCUGGAGAUGUGAGGAGGGUAAUAUUCUAUUUAGGUAGGUUGUAUUUCUCUCACCUGCAUAUUAUAACUCAAAACAGAGAUGUAGCUCUGAUUCUCUGGCAGCCCAGCUUCCACACAGGAGUUGGGGGUGGUCCUCUACAAGCAUCCCAUUGGGAAGGUUUUCUUCUUGGGACUGGAAGCAGUGAUGAAAGUCAGCUCUGGGUCAAUAUUUGUUUCUUCUGGAAUCAAACUCUCAUAGAAACAGAGCAAGAACAGAGAUACUGAGUCCUGUUCCCUUGUCCUACAGGCCAAGGGGUCAGAGGCUUACAGGGUCCUCCUGGGAAGUUGGGCCCUUAAGGAAUAAAAGGGUCCCCUGGGUUACCAGGAGCAGUGGGCCACAAAGGGGAUCCUGGAGAUUGUCCAGUUUGUGAGAGCCACCUGGAUAGUUCAGAAAGAAGAGCUUUGCAAGAAGAAUUGGACCGUAUCAAAAAGUGUAAGCCUCCUUUCUUACUCUUCAGGUAGCUUGAAUUUUGGGAACAUGGAAGGUAACAGGUAUUUAUUAAAUGCAUAUAGUAUUUUAGGACCUGGAUAGGUGUUUCACAUAUUCUGAUCACAUGAAAUCCUCACAACACCCUUUUGCUAGAAAUAGAGGCAGAAAGGAGUUACGUAACUUGCUCAAACACACAGAGCUAAGUGGUAGAAGUAUUUUAUAAACUGAAGUCAGUCUGACUCUGGAGUCCCUGAUCCUUUACUUUUUACUCUCUGGUUACUGAAAAUGGGACCUGUGCCCCUUUUUACUGCUGGCGUUGAGACCUGUCAAUGGGCUUGAGCUGUUCCUUCUGUGCCCUCCUACCUUGGGGCAAAUACUCUCAGACAUUUUUGCUUAUUCUUGAGAUAAUACUGAGGUAGAAUUCAGUUUCCUAAUUGUAUGUGCUCUAAAACUGAUUCAAAAAGAUAAAGUCCUCUGAUAGAGUCUGUCUCUUCAGAUUAGGGUUGCCAGUUUUUACUAGGAAAAAGACAGGC